rnacentral:ncRNA from 1 species
UCAAAGGCAGUGACAAGAAACAGUACGUAUUUUGGAUUUUACAGAGAGAAGGCGGCAGGUGCGAGCCUUUAUUGAAAAAAUACCGAACCCCUCUUCGAGCCGUGAGCCGAACCGUUUUUACGCAGUAAGCAUCACCGGGUUCUCCCGUAACAGAGAAAGGUAUCGGGAUUUAUCCCCUGUACCGUGAGCGCGGAAUUUUUCCGAAUUUAGGUGGUACCACGGACCUGACCGGUUCGCCCUAAGC